rnacentral:tRNA from 1 species
GCGCCCGUAGCUCAACAGGAAGAGCAGCACCCUUCUAAGGUGAAGGUUGGCCGUUCGACUCGGCCCGGGCGCG